UUUCACUUUAGUGAAUAAAUGUGUUUGUUUACCUUUCAUAUUCCUUGUUGUAAAUAUGUAAUUUUGCUUAUAACUUCACAACUUCAUCUCCAAACAUAUCUCCAACUGUUUGUCAAUUGUGGUCUAUGGGCCAACACAACAGAUGAAGCAGGAAUGUUUUUUUUUUUUUAAAGAAUAUUUACAUUUUGUCAAUACCAUUGUACAGGCAUGCAUUGUACAGG